rnacentral:rRNA from 1 species
AUGGUAUGCACUGGCUCGCUGACUCCUCCUUCUUGUAAACCGUAAUGCCAUUAAUUUGGUGUUGCGGGAAAACAGGACUGUUACUUUGAAAAAAUUAGAGUGUUUAAAGCAGGCCAACGCCUGAAUACAUUAGCAUGGAAUAAUGAAAUAGGACGUUAAUCCUAUUUUGUUGGUUUCUAGGAUCGACGUAAUGAUUAAUAGGGAUAGUUGGGGGCAUUAGUAUUCAAUUGUCAGAGGUGAAAUUCUUGGAUUUAUUGAAUACUAACUACUGCAAAGGCAUUUGCCAAGGAUGUUUUCAUUAAUCAAGAACGAAAGUUAGGGGAUCGAAGACGAUCAGAUACCGUCGUAGUCUUAACCAUAAACUAUGCCGACUAGGGAUCGGAUGAUGUUAAUUCUUUAAUGACUCAUUCAGCGCAUUACG